rfam:Mesitornis unicolor contig73284, whole genome shotgun sequence.
AGUAUUUAUAUAUCCGGAGAAAGUUCUCUAGUAAAUUCUGGAGAUCUUUGGUAUUUAAAUGUCAACAUCGAUUUGUUUAUUUAUUGCUUAGCUUAUCGUAACUGACUCAAUAACAAAUCUAAUCAUGUUCUGCACAGAGAAAAUAUUCUCAUUAUGUAUUUU